rnacentral:rRNA from 1 species
UACGUAGGGUGCGAGCGUUGUCCGGAACUAUUGGGCGUAAAGAGCUUGUAGGCGGUCUGUCGCGUCUGCUGUGAAAAUCCGGGGCUCAACCCCGGACUUGCAGUGGGUACGGGCAGACUAGAGUGUGGUAGGGGAGACUGGAAUUCCUGGUGUAGCGGUGAAAUGCGCAGAUAUCAGGAGGAACACCGAUGGCGAAGGCAGGUCUCUGGGCCGAUACUGACGCUGAGGAGCGAAAGCGUGGGGAGCGAACAGG